rnacentral:rRNA from 1 species
UGCCCAGACUCCUACGGGAGGCAGCAGUGGGGAAUAUUGCACAAUGGGGGAAACCCUGAUGCAGCGACGCCGCGUGAGCGAUGAAGUAUUUCGGUAUGUAAAGCUCUAUCAGCAGGGAAGAAAAUGACGGUACCUGACUAAGAAGCCCCGGCUAACUACGUGCCAGCAGCCGCGGUAAUACGUAGGGGGCAAGCGUUAUCCGGAUUUACUGGGUGUAAAGGGAGCGUAGACGGCGGUGCAAGCCAGAUGUGAAAGCCCGGGGCUCAACCGCGGAACUGCUCUGGAAACUGUUAAGCUGGAGUACUGGAGAGGCAAGCGGAAUUCCUAGUGUAGCGGUGAAAUGCGUAGAUAUUAGGAGGAACACCAGUGGCGAAGGCGGCUUGCUGGACAGAGACUGACGUUGAGGCUCGAAAGCGUGGGGAGCAAACAGGAUUAGAUACCCGUGUAA